rnacentral:rRNA from 1 species
UACGUAGGGUGCGAGCGUUAAUCGGAAUUACUGGGCGUAAAGCGUGCGCAGGCGGUUCGUUGUGUCCGAUGUGAAAGCCCCGGGCUUAACCUGGGAAUGGCAUUGGAAACUGGCGAGCUUGAGUGCGGCAGAGGGGGGUGGAAUUCCGCGUGUAGCAGUGAAAUGCGUAGAGAUGCGGAGGAACACCGAUGGCGAAGGCAGCCCCCUGGGUCGACACUGACGCUCAGGCACGAAAGCGUGGGGAGCAAACGGG